UGACUAAAGCAAAAGGUGGUCAUAGAAGGCUUUCCUGAAGAACAAACGCAUCUCCAUAUAUUAUUCUAAGGAACCUGAGCUUUCCAUGAAGACUGUAGGGUAGAUGGGAAAAACCUGUUCCAAGAAGACAAGAUCCCUCCUAGACACCAGAGGGUUAAGGAAGGAAGAGACAUGUUGGCCAGCUUAUGCUGUGGCCACCACUGGAAAUGUAUUUGGUGGGAGCUGCAGAGAGAGGUGCUACAGAGACGAGCGCCAACCACACAGAGGUGAGCCUGGCCCAGCGUGGAGUUAGGCGGGCCAUGGCUCCUGAGGCUCAUCGCCGUGCUCCGUGUGGCUGAGCUGAUCACUGCCCCUGACUCAUCUUUACACAAUCGCAGAGAGACUACCUCAGACUAAGUCGGAAGCACCACCACCCAUACCCAGGGGUUAAGAUUUCAGAUAAGCACCUUGAAACUUGGAAGAGGUCACAUCAGGAUAAAU